AAAGAAUAAGCACCGGCUAACUACGUGCCAGCAGCCGCGGUAAUACGUAGGGUGCGAGCGUUAAUCGGAAUUACUGGGCGUAAAGCGGGCGCAGACGGUUACUUAAGCAGGAUGUGAAAUCCCCGGGCUCAACCUGGGAACUGCGUUCUGAACUGGGUAGCUAGAGUAUGUCAGAGGGGGGUAGAAUUCCACGUGUAGCAGUGAAAUGCGUAGAGAUGUGGAGGAAUACCGAUGGCGAAGGCAGCCUCCUGGGAUAACACUGACGUUCAUGCUCGAAAGCGUGGGUAGCAAACAGGAUUAGAUACCCUGGUAGUCCACGCCCUAAACGAUGUCGAUUAGCUGUUGGGCAGCUUGACUGCUUAGUAGCGUAGCUAACGCGUGAAAUCGACCGCCUGGGGAGUACGGUCGCAAGAUUAAAACUCAAAGGAAUUGACGGGGACCCGCACAAGCGGUGGAUGAUGUGGAUUAAUUCGAUGCAACGCGAAGAACCUUACCUGGUCUUGACAUGUACGGAACCUUCCAGAGACGGAAGGGUGCCUUCGGGAACCGUAACACAGGUGCUGCAUGGCUGUCGUCAGCUCGUGUCGUGAGAUGUUGGGUUAAGUCCCGCAACGAGCGCAACCCUUGUCAUUAGUUGCCAUCAUUCAGUUGGGCACUCUAAUGAGACUGCCGGUGACAAACCGGAGGAAGGUGGGGAUGACGUCAAGUCCUCAUGGCCCUUAUGACCAGGGCUUCACACGUCAUACAAUGGUCGGUACAAAGGGUAGCCAAGCCGCGAGGCGGAGCCAAUCUCAUAAAACCGAUCGUAGUCCGGAUUGCACUCUGCAACUCGAGUGCAUGAAGUCGGAAUCGCUAGUAAUCGCAGGUCAGCAUACUGCGGUGAAUACGUUCCCGGGUCUUGUACACACCGCCCGUCACACCAUGGGAGUGGGGGAUACCAGAAGUAGGUAGGGUAACCGCAAGGAGCCCGCUUACCACGGUAUGCUUCAUGACUGGGGUGAAGUCGUAACAAGGUAGCCGUAGGGGAACCUGCGGCUG
rnacentral:rRNA from 1 species